UAUUUUAAUCUUAAGAUCUGUAUACUUUUUGGUGAUGAUUCAAAAUUUCAUUUUUGAGUUAUUGAGUAUUUUGUAAAAAAGGGGGAGGGGGUUUUUACAUGUCGCGCCGUAUCUCAAAAACGAUUUAUGAUUAUUGCUUAAAACUUUACACACUUCUUUGUAUAUUUAUCUAAACAUCUGUAUACUUUUUGGUGAUGAUUCAAAAUUUUAUUUUUCAGUUAUUUAGUAUUUUGUAAAAAAGGGGGAGG
rnacentral:lncRNA from 1 species